rnacentral:rRNA from 1 species
UACAGAGGGGGCAAGCGUUGUUCGGAAUUACUGGGCGUAAAGGGCGCGUAGGCGGCCUGCUAAGUCGAACGUGAAAUCCCUGGGCUCAACCCAGGAACUGCGUCCGAUACUGGUUGGCUUGAAUCCGGGAGAGGGAUGUGGAAUUCCAGGUGUAGCGGUGAAAUGCGUAGAUAUCUGGAGGAACACCGGUGGCGAAGGCGACAACCUGGACCGGUAUUGACGCUGAGGCGCGAAAGCCAGGGGAGCAAACGGG